rnacentral:rRNA from 1 species
UGCCCCGGGUCAACGGGGGACGGAAGGUGGGGAUGACGUCAAGUCCUCAUGGCCUUUAUGCCUAGGGCUACACACGUGCUACAAUGGGCGGUACAAAGGGUCGCGAUCCCGCGAGGGGGGAGCCAAUCCCAAAAAGCCGUCCCAAGUUCGGAUUGGAGUCUGCAACUCGACUCCAUGAAGCUGGAAUCGCUAGUAAUCGCGGAUCAGCAUGCCGCGGUGAAUACGUUCCCGGGCCUU